rnacentral:miRNA from 1 species
UGAUGGAUCUUUGCUUGGUACC